UGGGUGAAGCAAAAUUGCUGAAGAUUCAGGUCUGAGGCGAUGGAGCGAAAGAUAAACCUGAUGCUUGCACUAGCAGUAGAAAUACUGAGAGUACGAGCGGCCUACUUAGGUAGGUAAAGAAAUAGAGUUAACAGAGAUUGAACUGAAGAGUUUGAUCCUGGCUCAGAUUGAACGCUGGCGGCAUGCUUUACACAUGCAAGUCGAACGGUAACAGGCCUUCGGGUGCUGACGAGUGGCGAACGGGUGAGUAAUGCAUCGGAACGUGCCCAAUCGUGGGGGAUAACGUAGCGAAAGUUACGCUAAUACCGCAUAAGCCCUGAGGGGGAAAGCAGGGGAUCGCAAGACCUUGCGCGAAUGGAGCGGCCGAUGUCAGAUUAGCUAGUUGGUGGGGUAAAGGCCUACCAAGGCGACGAUCUGUAGCGGGUCUGAGAGGAUGAUCCGCACACUGGGACUGAGACACGGCCCAGACUCCUACGGGAGCAGCAGUGGGGAAUAUU
rnacentral:rRNA from 1 species